rnacentral:rRNA from 1 species
UACGUAGGGGGCAAGCGUUGUCCGGAUUUAUUGGGCGUAAAGAGCGUGUAGGCGGUUAGGUAGGUCCGUUGUGAAAACUCGAGCUCAACCUCGAGACGCCGAUGGAAACCCCCUAACUAGAGUCCGGAAGAGGAGAGUGGAAUUCCGUGGUGUAGCGGUGAAAUGCGCAGGAUAUCAAGGAAGAACACCCGUGGCGAAGGCGGCUCUCUGGGACGGUACUGACGCUGAGCACGCGAAAGCGUGGGGAGCGAACAGG